GUCUCUGUUCCUGGACUCAAGGAAAGAGGUCUUCCUCUCACUUGGGAAUGGAGUGGGAAGCGGACGUGCGUGGUCUUAGCUUUUUUUUCUCUUCCCUCUGAGAAGCAACUUCGUCAACCAACUGCAGGGCACACAACUUGACAGUUGCGGGUCCUUUCUCUGUUGUUUGCAUGCACCAUAUUCCAGGGCCAUGUUAAAUCUCCUACCUUCUAUCAUAAUAUUGUCUGAAGAGAUUCGGACUGUCUGAGUCCCUCAGAACAUCACACAGAUCCAUUAUAUCGAAGACAUCCUGCUGAUUGGACAUGAUGAACAACAGGUGGCUUGCAUGCUGGAAGCCUUAGGUCCAUUAUGAGGAGAACUGAAGAAUCUAUUUGGAUGUACUGAGGAUUUCAGAACUUCCCUCUCAAUCCUGAGUGAUCCACCUCCGGACCAUGACAUGAGAG
rnacentral:lncRNA from 1 species